GCACUGACUGCCAAGGGGACUGUGAUCAGGCCGGGAGAGAAAAGCAGGAUCUGAUCGCAGCCCCUGUGGCAGUCAGUGCUG